rnacentral:lncRNA from 10 species
ACAGAGGCGCAGACUCAGGAUGCUGAGCUGGGAGAGGAAUCCCGGAGGAAAGUGAGAGGGCUUCAGCACGUUUAUUUAAAGGGGAUGGUGAGAAAUCUAGGAAAGAGUGAAAUCCCAAGAUCUGAGGGUUUAAGUGAGAGAGGUAGGUAGAGACUGGAGUUUUGGGGGAGUUCCCGUGGGUUUCAGGGCUUGCUUGAGCUGUGGAUCCAAGGCCUGGAGGACAGGGUGGGGCCAGAACAGAUUCCACCGACAAGGGCAGGAGCCAGGUUGCAGGCAUCAGAGAGGACAGGUGACCUGUCGGGGCCUGGAGCAAGGGCCCGGGCAGCUUCCUCCACAGGCCAUGUGAAGACAGAGCCAUGGAUUGGGAAAGGUGGAGACUCCGAGUGUAGAGGUGUCCAUGUAACAGUGCUGGCUGAAUGGGGGACUUCCAGGUCACACCCCAAAAAGCUCUGAGCCGGUGUUAGUAAGAAAUGGGGAGGAAGGCCCAGCUGUGGCGCCCUGGGCAUUAAUCCUAAAAAAAAAGAUACUACUUCUAUGUGCCAGAAACUUCAAAGCAAGUGAACACUUCAAGUACGAGAACCAGAGGUGUUUUUUUGUUUUUUCUUUUUUCUUUUGAGACGGAGUAUCGCUCUGUCACCCAGGCUGGAGUGCAAUGGUGCAAUCUCGGCUCACUACAACCUCCGCCUUCUGGGUUCAAGCAAUUUUCCUGCCUCAGCUUCCCGAGUAGCUGGGAUUACAAGUAUGAACCACCACGCCUGGCUAACUUUUGUAUUUUUUUUUUUUUAGUAGAGACGGGGUUUCCCC